AGCCACACCUGCGGCAUAUGGAAGUUCCCAGGCAAGGGGUUGAAUGGAAUUGGAGCUGCAGCUGCUGGGCUACACCACAGCCACAGCAGUGGUGAAUCUGAGCCACAUCUGUGACCUAUGCCACAGCUUGUAGCAAUGCCAGGUCCUUAACCUACUGAACAAGGCCAGGAUUGAACCCACAUCCUCACAGAUACUUUGUUGGACCCUUUACCCACUGGGCCACCACAGGAACUCUGAAAGAAUAUUUUAAAGCAUAUAGAAGUAUAAGUAUUUUAUAAAAUAGUGCUGAAGUUAAAAAAGGCAAAGACAAUAAAAAAAGAAAGACAAUCUAAAAAUAAGUGGUUAUGGGGUACCUUCCAAAAUCUGUUAAGCUGAGUCUUCCAUAAUCACUUCAGUCAUCACUUCAGUUAGUCAAAGGAACUAACCGUCAGUAAACGCCCACUGUAUAACAGAUAGAACCAGUAAUGAGGUAUAGAUAUUUUCCCACUUUUCCCAAAGAGAAGACAAAAACUUAGUGAGGUAGGUUGAAUAGUAAAGUUAAACAAAAGAGUACUGGAACUCCUCCAAACUUACAAGGCUUUCUCUGGAAGCACUGUUACCUGCUUGUAAUGCAGCACUUGGCAACAUUCACAUCUCUUUGCCACAGCCUGGAACUCUAAAGAAAGUCUCCUCAUCCACAGAAGACAAAGGUGAGAUGACAGAUAAUCUGGGGGAAGCCAUUUGUCAUUGGAGAUGACAGCAAGGUCUCAGGAAAGAGGAACAUAUGAUGCCACUCAUAUGACUUAAACUAGCACGGGCACCACCCUGCACCAUCUCACCCCACGCCCAGUGUCAUGGCUCUGCUCUAGGGGCUGGAGAUGCAAACAUAUCACUCCCCCUAGAUCACCAACCAACAAGUUAUCAGGAUUCCGGCUGGCUUUCAGAAUGGACUAAAAUAAUUAAGGACCAUGUAUUUCCAUGUCAGAUUCUCAAUCCCAUUUCAGUAUUGGAAUAGGCUGAAAUAAAACCGGAAGAAAGACCCACAUAUCUUCUUGUUGACAUGUUAAGUCUUUCAGGAGAGCAUGUAGCCCAGUGCCUUGCUGGCUUUCUGAGCACUGGGCUUAGUCCCAUGGAGAAAAAAAUGCCAAGACCUUGCAGGCUGAGGGUGCAUCUUUUAAAGAAUUUGCAGUGUUAGUGGUUUUAUUCUAAGCAAACUUCCUAGCCCCAGAGGGCUGGCAAGCUGGGACAUGCUAGGGUAAUGCCUAAUUGGUCACACCCAAAUGCCUUUGCUUCCUGCCUUGAAAGUAAAAUCUUGCUGUUACAUGACUAAGUAGCCCUGAAGCUCAGGGAUACACCUGGGAUCUAAGUCAUGCAAGCCACAUGCCCUUUUAAUAAAACUGACAAGCAGAGCUGCAAUGCUCACAGGUUUCUUUCUCAGGCCCUCUUGCUGCUGGCAGGGCAAUCUUUGAUGCUGAAGUCACAUCCAUUUCUUUUACCCCGGAGAAGAGAUGUGGUGGCUAUCCUUUGAGUCGCUGGUCUCAGUUCUCUCGUGUUAUAGCACCAUAACAAAUGACUGUCUGUCAUUUGGGCAGGAAACAUCUUCAGGGAAAUGGGGAACUGGCUUUUUCACACUAGCACUUUAUGGUACUUCAAAACCAAUUACAGAUGGAACCCAAAAGUACAGUUUUCUCAGUUUCUGAUAUGCUUUGCUAGAUUCUGCCAGGCUCAGUGGAAACAUUUCAGUCCUGAAUGUCAGAGGAAUGAAGCAAAAUGAGACCUACCCAUCAUUCACUCCAACAUAAGGAGGACCUUUCAGGAACUACACUGAUAGUUCAUGCAACUCUGAAUCCAGGGACCUUUAGAAACUCAGCAGCAGUUUGAUACAUAUGGAGAACAGGAGGCCCAGGUUCUAGUUCUAGCAAUGUGAACAAGCCAGUGUUUGCCCUUAUGAAAUAGGAGGAGGAAUUAGGUACUGCAAAUAUAUUUUUGAUAAAAUUUCCAAGAUUCUGACAAAGAAUCUUGUGUUGUGUGUUGGAGAAAGAACAGGAUCAAUAACAAGGAGCAAAUAAUAUCUGUCGUGCAAACCUGGUGCUGCACUGAAUCUUCUCAGUAGCUGUAUGAGGCAGGGUUCAUUGUCCCCAUUUUACAGAUGGAAAAAGACCUGGAAACAUUGAAGAGGCAGCCUGCGGUCACAUUGAAUCAGUAGCAGAGCAGAGAUUCAACCCAUAUCUGUCUUGUUCCAAAGUCCACCUCACUGCAUGGCCUCCCACCUGGCACGUGUGCGCACACACACACACAAACACACACACACACACACACACACAAGCUGACCUAAAGGGUGCACAGGAAGCAUAUCAAGUGUAGGGAGAGGACUGGGAGGAGAUAAGGGAGAAAUGUUUAGCCUUUGCUUCCCCCACUCUCUUCCUCCUCUCCCAGAAUAGUUCAACUAUGAGGUAUUUAUAUAUUGAUCCUCUUAGUGAGUUUUUGUUUUGUUUUGUUUUUUUUUUUUUUUUUUAGGGCCUCACCUGUGGGAUAUGGAAGUUCCCAGGCUAGAGGUCAAAUUGAAGCUGCAUCUGCCGGCCUAUACCACAGCCAUAGCAAGGGGGAGUCCAAGUCAUGUCUGAGACCUACACCACGGCAACACCAGAUCCCCAACCCACUGAGCAAGGCCAGGGAUCAAACCCACAUCCUCAUGGACACUAGUCAGGUUCACUACUGCUGAGCCACAAUGGGAGUUCUGAGAUUUUUUUUUUUUAAAUGAUACCACUACUUGAAAAAAGGAAAGAAGGGAGGGAAGGAGAAACAAAGCAAUGAAGGAAAGAGGAAGAAAUAAAUGAAACUGCAAGCUACAAGUGACUUUUUUAUUUCAUCUCUUAGGAUUUUCAGAGCUUAAGCACUCCUUAAAGUGGCAAAUCUAAAAGAGAGUUCACGUUUGUAAACUAUUUAAUAAACUGCUUCAUGAGCCAGGUUGCGCUCAUCAACUUUUAUGCUUCAGUAGCACAAAUCCUCAAAGCUCAGUGGCUUACAGCAACUAAUGUUUGUUACUUCUCACUCAUAUUACUAGCCCUACACAGAUUGACAAUGGCUAUGUUCCACGGUGUUUUCAUUUCAGGACCCCAAAUGAAGGAGAAGCUCCUAUCCAGGACGUGAACUUUUGUGCCAGAGAAAAAGGACCAAUGGUAGACCCAUGAGAUGCCACGUCAAUCUUCUGUGCUUGAUUCCACUCUGGUUUCAUUGAUUUAAACAAGUCACACAGCCAAGCCCAACAGCCAAACAUCGAGAGAUAUUACCCAAUAAUUUGGAACAAUAUAACUUUUCUCACCUGACUUACCUUUCAUAAUUUACUAUAUCCUCUAGUCACAAAUGUUUAUUUCUGUACCUUCCUUGAAUGAAAUACAUGUUCCCUCUCUCCAAGAGAGAGACUAUAAAGUCCACUCCAAUCCAAUCACAGCAAGAGGCUCACUAUCUAACAUUUGAUGAUUUCAUCUAUAUCGGGGAAAGGUAGGGGUUUUUUGAUCCAGAGCAUACAAAGUUAAAAUAAGUCACCUGCCCACAUCCUGUCACAAUACACGAUAGCUGAAUAAGGGAUAGAAUAACCGUAAGAAAUUGUCUCAUUGAGAAAGCAGAAAGGUUGGUGACACACAGCAGUCACUGGGCUGCAGCAAUUCUGAGGUCUUGCUGGUCAGACUUUUCAAGUACCACCUUCCUGGGCACAGGGAGUGUUCCUUGGUUAAGCUCUUGGUCUGCUCCCUACCAUUUACUCCAUGGGGUCUUGGCUUCACUCUCCAAGAGGGUCGCUCUUUCUCAUGAUGAUUCUGGCCAUGUACGAUGACAAUGUUGGAAAUGUGCCUUUGGGAGCUGGUUGUGUAGCUUUCUCUGCCUGAUUCCUACUGUGAAAGGUGGGACCGCAAAGUUGGUUUUAAUCUCAAACAGUCAAGAGUCUAUUGCAUUCCAGGUUGAUAGCUCUUUUGAUAGUACAAUUCUCCCUAAAACUUAAGUGGAUAUUUAUCUGUUUGACUUCAGACAGUACCAUGUACAAACAGCCAUACCUAUAAUUCUUGUAGAGUCAGACCUUCCUCUUAUUAAACCUUAUGGUUUAACUACAGCAAAUAACUGGGGACAAUGAUACAAUGCUUCCAUGGAGAAUAAGAAAUAAAGGUCCAGAAAGUCACAUGGACGAUAAAAGCACUGCAGUCUCUUUACAGGUCUAUAUGAGGUUUAGAAUAAUGAUGAAAGCCUAUAUAUGUACAGGGUCAAGUUUAGAUUCCUCAACAGUAGACUGAUUCUUAGGGUAUGUGCCAGUCUGUGUUCCUUUCUCUGAUAAUUAAUAUUGAUCUACUGCCCUGUCUCUGUGCCCUUCUCAGAGUUUGCCUCAAAUGCUCUUAAUGAGAGGGUGGCUUGCUGUGUAGGCUAUGUCCCCUGUUCAAAGUUUAUUGGGUCAAGGUCAGACACCUAAACUGAGGAACUAAUCAAAUUUCUUUCUGAGAAUUUGGUUUGGGACUCAGAGACUCUAGCUAACCUCUGCUGGAGAUCUGAGCAAGGAGGCCAUCACUCAGGCUAUAUUAUCCUGGGAACAGAGACACUGAUAGUCUUGAGGGAGAGAGAAAAAAAAAAAAAAAAAAAAAAAAAAAAAAGAAAGAGAGAGAGAGAGGCAAUAAUGAAACAUAUACACUGUGGGAAGCAGAGAAAUGUGUCUGCCCUUAGGAUCUAUGACAUAGUCCUUUGCAGAAAAUUUUUCUUUGCCUGAGAUAUUUUAAGUGAGUUUCCAUAGCUUGCCACCAAAUAAUCAUUCAUACCUCCUGGUUAAACAAAUUCAAUAUUCUUCAACCAAUCCUUCCUGAGUUUCUAUGAACAUGAUACUAAGAAAGAAAGAAUUCCCAAAGAAUAACAAGAUGAAUAUGACACAGUGACAGUACUUAGGGUAUUUAUAAGCUUUUAAGAGAGCUAAGAACACAAAUUCUCAUAAGGAAGAUAAUAAUAGAAGCACAUAAAAUAUUGUGGCAAUUAAAAAGGGAUCAUGAUCACAUAUGAUUAGGAGAAUCAGAAUUUUUUAUGGAAAAAUGUCCAAUGAGAUACAGCUAUAGGAUGGACAAAAUCUGAGGGGCAGAUUUGAUAGAAAGCUUCAGGCAGAGUAAAUGGCAUAAGUAGAGGCCUGGACUAAGGAAAUUUGGUGGUGCACUAUUUCUCUGGAGCACAGGAAACAUAUUGGGAAGAGGAGGCAAAUACCUGGCAAGAUAGUCUGGGAUAUUGUUACAAAGGAUGGUAGAUACAAAUAUUUAUCGACUUAUUUAUGCAGUGAAUAGAAUCCCACAGAAGGAAAUGAUACAAUCAUUUGGAAAUGUGGCCCAGCAGCAAUGUGUAUAGUAGGUCUGCAUGGGAAAGAAACUAUAUACAAAAAAAUUAAUAAGGUAUUGAAAGAAGUCCUAAUGUUUUGAAUAAGAUAGUCUAUGUGUUAGCAGGAAGGAAGUAUGUAUAACUGGAAAGAUAGUGCGCUUGGAAGUUGGAGGGCCAUGCAUCCGAGUAGAUAUGACCACAGUGAGAACAGGGAUUUGAACAGCAAAAAGCUUUCAAUUCUUUCAAAGGAAAUAAGGACAAGGAUGAGACGCUGGAGGGAAAAGGCGUUUGGACUGAUAAAUUAAAUAUACCAUGACAUCCAGGUGAAGAUAGGUGUCUGGUAAGACACUAGAUAUCAUGAAAUUCUAGAUUUUUAACGUAAGAGAAUGCUUAGAAAUCAUUCUGUCAACCCCUUCAUUUUAUAGACAAGAAAACUGAGGUCUAGAGUAAUUCUUAUUGCCUUACCCCAAAUGACGAAGUUUAUGAUCUGGGCAUUCUGUUGAUAGAGAGUUAAGGAGUGAAAAUCCAAGCUUAAUGGGUCCAACAAAUAUCCAGACUGAGUGAGAGGAGCAAAACGUGGCUAUGUAACAACUCUCCAUUUGCCAGUCUGUGUGGGAAGUGUGUAAAUGCCGGUCAUUGGCAACAUGGCGCGCCUGCUGUGUGCUAAGUACCCCACUAAAUACUGUGCAACGCUUCAAAGGACAUGAACAAUACAGACACCAUGUGCCUGGGGAAGCGCAGGCUCUAAUUGGGAGGGCAGGCCAACUCUGUGAGAGCAGCCCUCACUGAGGGGUU
rnacentral:lncRNA from 1 species